rnacentral:rRNA from 1 species
UUAGAGUUUCUUUCUGGCUCAGGAUGAACGCUGGCGGCGUGCCUAAUACAUGCAAGUCGAACGGUAAACGCCCUUCGGGGCGUGAGAGUGGCGCACGGGUGCGUAACGCGUAUGCAACCCACCCCCUGCAGGGGUAUAGCCCGGAGAAAUCCGGAUUAACCCCCCAUGAGGAGCGGGAGAGGCAUCUCUCCCGUUUCAAAACUACGGUGGCGGGGGACGGGCAUGCGUCCCAUUAGGUAGUCGGCGGGGCAACGGCCCACCGAGCCUGUGAUGGGUAGGGGAUCUGAGAGGACGGUCCCCCACACUGGUACUGAGACACGGACCAGACUCCUACGGGAGGCAGCAGUAAGGGAUAUUGGUCAAUGGGCGGUAGCCUGAACCAGCCAUGCCGCGUGAGGGAUGAAGGCCCUACGGGUCGCAGACCUCUUUUGCCGGGGGAUAACGUGCCCAACGCGUUGGGCAGUGAAGGUACCCGGAGAAUAAGCAUCGGCUAACUCCGUGCCAGCAGCCGCGGUAAUACGGAGGAUGCGAGCGUUAUCCGGAUUUAUUGGGUUUAAAGGGUGCGCAGGCGGCGUGCUAAGUCAGCGGUGAAAGGCGACGGCUCAACCGGAGCAGUGCCGUUGAUACUGGCGUGCUUGAAUGCGGUCGAGGCCGGCGGAAUGUGGCGUGUAGCGGUGAAAUGCAUAGAUAUCGCACAGAACGCCGAUCGCGGAGGCAGGUCACCAAGCCGCAACUGACGCUGAGGCACGAAAGCGCGGGGAUCGAACAGGAUUAGAUACCCUGGUAGUCCGCGCAGUAAACGAUGGACGCUCGCCGUUCGGCAUAGCGCCGAGUGGCCAAGCGAAAGCGAUAAGCGUCCCACCUGGGGAGUACGCCGGCAACGGUGAAACUCAAAGGAAUUGACGGGGGCCCGCACAAGCGGAGGAACAUGUGGUUUAAUUCGAUGAUACGCGAGGAACCUUACCCGGGCUUGAAAGUUAGCGACGGACCUGGAAACAGGUCUUCCCUUCGGGGCGCGAAACUAGGUGCUGCAUGGUUGUCGUCAGCUCGUGCCGUGAGGUGUCGGCUUAAGUGCCAUAACGAGCGCAACCCCUGCCGCCAGUUGCCAGCGAGUUAAGUUGGGGACUCUGGCGGGACUGCCACCGCAAGGUGCGAGGAAGGCGGGGAUGACGUCAAAUCAGCACGGCCCUUACGUCCGGGGCGACACACGUGUUACAAUGGGGGGUACAGAGGGCAGCGACCUGGCGACAGGGAGCGAAUCUCAGAAAGCCCCUCUCAGUUCGGAUCGGAGUCUGCAACUCGACUCCGUGAAGCUGGAUUCGCUAGUAAUCGCGCAUCAGCCAUGGCGCGGUGAAUACGUUCCCGGGCCUUGUACUCACCGCCCGUCA